CCGGGGCAGAUUGGUGUAGGGUG
rnacentral:miRNA from 1 species